rnacentral:rRNA from 1 species
CUCCUUGCACACACCGCUCGUCGCUUCACCGAAGCUGGUUCUUGGCGAGGUGGCGCCUAAUUGGCGCUAUCGAACCUGGGGUCAGCAACGGGGAG